rnacentral:piRNA from 6 species
AAGAUUUCCGUGGAGAGGAACAAUUCUGA